rnacentral:rRNA from 1 species
AUUGAACGCUGGCGGCAUGCCUUACACAUGCAAGUCGAACGGCAGCACGGGAGCUUGCUCCUGGUGGCGAGUGGCGAACGGGUGAGUAAUACAUCGGAACGUACCCUGAAGUGGGGGAUAACGUAGCGAAAGUUACGCUAAUACCGCAUAUUCUGUGAGCAGGAAAGAGGGGGAUCGCAAGACCUCUUGCUUUAGGAGCGGCCGAUGUCGGAUUAGCUAGUUGGUGAGGUAAAGGCUCACCAAGGCGACGAUCCGUAGCGGGUCUGAGAGGAUGAUCCGCCACACUGGGACUGAGACACGGCCCAGACACCUACGGGUGGCUG